AAAGAGAUCACAGAGACGUGUUGC
rnacentral:sRNA from 1 species